CGCCCCGCCGCUCCGCCCGCCGGCUGCUGCGAGCGGGCAGCUCCGGGGCUGCCCGGGUCCCAGGGUGCACGGCGAGCCCCGGGUCGGUCUGGGUCCCCCGGUGCACGGUGAGCCCCGGGCCGGUCGGUGUCCCCGGUGCACGGCGAGCCCCGGGGAUGGUUUGGGUCCCCCGGUGCACGGCGAGCCCCGGGGUCGGUCGGUGUCCCCCGGUGCACGGCGAGCCCCGGGCCGGUGUGGGAGCCCCGGCGCACGGGGUCGCGGCCGUUGUUUUCCCUCCGAGAAGAUUUCCAGAGUUCAUUCCACCCGGAGGAAAACCUCUGGGCUUGCAGAGAAGCUGCAUGCGUUUCGCAGAAACCCUAGCGCUGAGUGGGCUCAACCUCCACGGACAACAUCUACGGGUGGGAGAGCACCAAGAGCUCCAUCCCCGGUGGGGUUGGAGGGACGGGCUGGACACCACGGGCAGGGGUGGGGUGGAGGACGUCAGCCCUCCCGCCCACGGAAGGAUGGGCCACAUUGCUGGAUUUCCACCUUUUCAAACCAAAAACCCAUCCGACAUUUCCUUAGCAAACCCGGAGGUGGUUUUUCUUCCACCGCUUUCCCAGCGCCACCGCCGACCUCGCGCGCCGGUGCUGCGACCAACCUCUCGCCGCUCGGAAAAGCAGCUCUCGACACCCGCGGGGCAGGAAGGCAGGCGGAUGCCUGUGCUCGCAGUCACCCGCCAGCACCUGGGCGGACGCGUUAAAACAACGCCGUUCCCCGGCUCGUCCCGUCUCCCGGCGGUGCCGCCGAAACCUGCUCCGGCACGCUGCUCCCACCGCGGGAACGGCUCAAGAAUGCCAGAAGGAAAAAAAAAGGAAGAAGAAAAAAAAAAAGGCCGCUUCGAGAAUUAAAUAUUUUUCUGCAAAACGA